rnacentral:rRNA from 1 species
CCAGGCCGUCGAGAAAAGCCUCGGCGCGAGGGGCGUUGCCGCCCGUACCCCAAACCGACACUGGUGGUCAGGUAGAGAAUACCAAGGCGAUCGAGCGAAUCCUGGUCAAGGAACUCGGCAAAUCACUCCCGUGCCUUCGGUAUAAGGGAGACCCCUGAUGGUGAUGGAACUUGCUUCCGGAGCUUUCGGGGGUGGCACAGACCAGGGGGUAGCGACUGUUUACCAAAAACACAGGUGCAUGCGAAGGCGCAAGCCGCUGUAUAUGCACUGACGCCUGCCCGGUGCCGGAAGGUUAAGAGGAUCCGUCAGCCCUCGGGUGAAGCGGUGAAUUCAAGCCCCGGUAAACGGCGGUGGUAACUAUAACCAUCCUAAGGUAGCGAAAUUCCUUGUCGGGUAAGUUCCGACCUGCACGAAUGGCGUAACGACUUCCCCACUGUCUCGACCAGGAGCUCGGCGAAAUUGCAGUACGAGUAAAGAUGCUCGUUAAGCGCAGAAGGACGAAAAGACCCCGGGACCUUUACUAUACC